UACGUAGGGGGCUAGGCGUUGUCCGGAAUCAUUGGGCGUAAAGAGCGUGUAGGCGGCCCGGUAAGUCCGCUGUAAAAGUCAAAGGCUCAACCUUUGAAUGUCAGUGGAUACUGCCGGGCUAGAGUCCGGAAGAGGCGAGUGGAACUCCUGGUGUAGCGGUGGAAUGCGCAGAUAUCAGGAAGAACACCAACGGCGAAGGCAGCUCGCUGGGACGGUACUGACGCUGGAGACGCGAAAGCGUGGGGAGCGAACAGG
rnacentral:rRNA from 1 species